AACGAACGCUGGCGGCAGGCCUAACACAUGCAAGUCGAACGCCGUAGCAAUACGGAGUGGCAGACGGGUGAGUAACGCGUGGGAACAUACCCCUCGGUUCGGAAUAACUUAGGGAAACUUGAGCUAAUACCGGAUACGUCCGAGGUUUUAACCGGCCUCGGAGAAAGAUUUAUCGCCGGAGGAUUGGCCCGCGUCUGAUUAGCUUGUUGGUGAGGUAAUGGCUCACCAAGGCGACGAUCAGUAGCNGGUCUGAGAGGAUGAUCAGCCACAUUGGGACUGAGACACGGCCCAAACUCCUACGGGAGGCAGCAGUGGGGAAUCUUGCGCAAUGCGCGAAAGCGUGACGCAGCAACGCCGCGUGGGGAAGAAGGCC
rnacentral:rRNA from 1 species